UAAAAACCUGAGUUUAAAAAGCAAAGUGCACCACUGUCACUUAAAUCUGACAAUAUUUUUAGGGCCAGACGUCAGAUUUUCUUGAGCUGAACAGUUAACACUAUGUAGGUCAAGUCUGGACCUCAGGUCCAGUAUCUCUCAAUGGACCCAGCGCAUAAAAUACAAACUAAUUAUAAGACACGUCAAACUGAAGCCCUGUGACUCAAAGAAUAAUUGCUGGAUACGAGUAUCGCCCCACAUCAUCCACUCCAGCUGUGCGUAAAAGCCCUUGUGCGCAACGUGAGCGUUAAUGGACCCCCGUGGCGUAAUGGCGCAACGUCAGGGAAUAAACGCGGGUUUUCUCUAUCUCAGAGAGGUGUAGACUUCCUGCACACAAAUAUAUAUCAUUACCUUUAAUCCAGGCUAAAGGGGUUUAUCGUUUACAAUUUUUACGCUGACACAUUUGGGUGAAAUUACGCACAGUUUUGGAUGAUGGAGCUGGUUAAAGUUGUAUUGGUUGUGCUGCUUCUGACAAAUGUUUACUGUCAAGAAAUGGAUGUUGACAACUGGAGGGACAGAGUCGGAGAGGACAAAUGGCCAAACUCAGGAGUGGUUCAAGAUAUGUUAGUGAGACUGACCAGAAAGCCAGGACCGCGCCAGUAUCUCGGACUCAUGGGGAAGAGAGAUCACGCAAAAACGCAGACAGCACGUAAACGACAUAAAUUCCAAACCUUCGUGGGUCUGAUGGGUAAAAGAAGCUUUGAGGAUCAAGGAGCCCAGUGAGCUGCACAGAUGAUUUGAAGAUCUACAUUUGUUUUCUUUGUUUCAUUUCAGAACAAAAACUAUAUUUUGUUUAGUCAGUCAUUGUUUCAUUAAAAAUGUGACAUACAACAGUGGAUUGUGACACAGCUGCCAACGCUGAGAAGCU